GACGAGCGCUGGCGGCGUGCUUAACACAUGCAAGUCGAACGGUGAAGCGCCUUCCUUUUUGGUGGGUGUGGAUGAGUGGCGAACGGGUGAGUAACACGUGAGUAACCUGCCCCCUUCUUCUGGAUAACCGCAUGAAAGUGUGGCUAAUACGGGAUAUUCUGGGUCUGUCGCAUGAUGGGUCUGGGAAAGAUAUUGUUUCGGUGGGGGAUGGGCUCGCGGCCUAUCAGCUUGUUGGUGGGGUGAUGGCCUACCAAGGCGGUGACGGGUAGCCGGCCUGAGAGGGUGGACGGUCACACUGGGACUGAGACACGGCCCAGACUCAUACGGGAGGCAGCAGUGGGGAAUAUUGCACAAUGGGCGCAAGCCUGAUGCAGCGACGCCGCGUGAGGGAUGGAGGCCUGCGGGUUGUGAACCUCUUUCGCCAGUGAAGCAGGCCUGCCUCGUUUGUGGGUGGGUUGACGGUAGCUGGAGAAGAAGCGCCGGCUAACUACGUG
rnacentral:rRNA from 1 species